UAUAUUCUCCGCUGGGGGGGGAUGAGAACCCCCUACCGGGGUUCGACAACUGGCGCAGCCAGUUGGACAGACCGCGAGCCCGCGAGCGGGCUGCCCCGCAGGGGCGAGCGAAGCGAGUCAAUCCCCCCUCACCGCCA
rnacentral:sRNA from 2 species